UGGGGAAUUUUGGACAAUGGGCGAAAGCCUGAUCCAGCAAUGCCGCGUGUGUGAAGAAGGCCUUCGGGUUGUAAAGCACUUUUGUCCGGAAAGAAAUGGCUCUGGUUAAUACCUGGGGUCGAUGACGGUACCGGAAGAAUAAGGACCGGCUAACUACGUGCCAGCAGCCGCGGUAAUACGUAGGGUCCAAGCGUUAAUCGGAAUUACUGGGCGUAAAGCGUGCGCAGGCGGUUGUGCAAGACCGAUGUGAAAUCCCCGAGCUUAACUUGGGAAUUGCAUUGGUGACUGCACGGCUAGAGUGUGUCAGAGGGGGGUAGAAUUCCACGUGUAGCAGUGAAAUGCGUAGAGAUGUGGAGGGAAUACCGAUGGGCGAAGGCAGCCCCCUGGGAUAACACUGACGCUCAUGCACGAAAGCGUGGGGAGCAAACAGGAUUAGAUACCCCUGGUAGUCCACGCCCCUAAACGAUGUCAACUAGUUGUUGGGGGAUUCAUUUCCUUAGUAACGUAGCUAACGCGUGAAG
rnacentral:rRNA from 1 species